rnacentral:rRNA from 1 species
AACGAACGCUGGCGGCAGGCCUCAAACAUGCAAGUCGAGCGCCCAGCAAUGGGAGCGGCGGACGGGUGAGUAUCGCGUGGGAAUGUACCUAGUGGUUUGGAACAACUCAUGGAAACGUGAGCUAAUACCGGAUAAGCCCGUAAGGGGAAAGAUUUAUCGCCAUUAGAUCAGCCCGCGUAAGAUUAGCUAGUUGGUAGGGUAAUGGCCUACCAAGGCGACGAUCUUUAGCUGUUCUGAGAGGAAGAUCAGCCACACUGGGACUGAGACACGGCCCAGACUCCUACGGGAGGCAGCAGUUGGGAAUCUUGGACAAUGGGCGCAAGCCUGAUCCAGCCAUGCCGCGUGAGUGAUGAAGGCCUUAGGGUUGUAAAGCUCUUUUACCCGG